GUACGUUUUCCAGUAAUGACUCUCAAUGGAAAGAUAAUAUAUCUUUUUAUUUUUAGUUUUCCAUGAGUUUAUUCAUGAAUUGGCUUGAAUUUUGACAAAAAUUUUCUUGGUAUCUAUUAAGAAGUGUGUCUAGAUUGUCUCCUUCUGUCAAUAUGGUGAUUGUCUAACCUUUAGAUAUUAAUGCCAACAUGCACUCUUGAUAUCCCGACCCCCAGUUAGUGCAUCUAUUCCUCUUUUGUAUUGUUGGAUCUGAUUUGGUAGUACUUGUGACGAAUCCCUGAUAGAGAUUGGUCUGUAAUUUAUAUUUCUUGAUGACAUUUUCAGAUCUUAUAAAACUAGUUGUAAGGUAUUGCUUCUUGCUCUAUUUUCUGGACAGGUUGGUGCUCUACUCGGACCACUCUCGUCUUUUACUGACUGGAAGCAAGCACUCAAAGGCUGCAAGUGCAGGUGGCUGGCAGCUCUCAGCUAAGUUUCUCUCCAGGAACUGCCUUGGCCUUCAGGAGCCUCCUCCUCCUCAAGGCCUCAUGGGUGUGAUGUCUCAGGCUUUUGAGAGUGAAAGACAUAGCCUAAGACAGAAAAAUGUCUUAAAUGGCUUACCUGUGUGGGACCCAGGAGCUGGACAAGACUGCUAUCUGGUAGUUGCUUCCCUACUGCGAGACAUCUGAGUUGAAGUUCCAUGCCAGAACACACUUGCAGUCUUUUCUGGUCUUUAUACCAAUAGUUGCACUCCAGAUGUUAAUAGAUAAUAAGAGAAAUGCCUUUAUUCUGUGUUCAAGUACUUUAGAAAGCAUUAAAGUGAGAUAAAGUUAAUUGUCUCUCUAGAAGAUAUAUGACUUGGCCAGAAAAAGAAUAUAACUUUUUUCAAUUUGGAGCCAUGUGGUCCAAUUAAACAUUACUUAGUAGGUAGCUGGAGGGAUUGGGAUUUUUGCAUUUAAUUUCUGACACCUCAAGGAAGGGCACAAAGUUGCUUUUUAGUGGAGAAGAUUCCUUAAAGUUUGUAAACAAUUGAAUGUCUUUUUCAAGGUCUUUAUGCAUCACUUCAAUUAUCUAUAAUUUUUUAUCUGUCACUUAUUAUAUCUGAGGGUAAUUUGAAUUAGUCUACAUUUGUCAACAUUAAAUUUCAUUUGCCACAUGUCAGCCUAUUUAAGAAGCAAAUUCAAAAUGUAUUAGAAUGCAUUAGAUGUAAGUUUGAAC
rnacentral:lncRNA from 1 species